GGGGAAAUGGCUCUGUGGUAGAGUGCUUGCCUUGCAUGCAUGAGGCCCUGGGUUCAAUUCCUCAGCACCA
rnacentral:tRNA from 1 species